UGCAAACUCCAAAGUUUUCCAGCAAUGUCGGACUUGUUGGACCGUGCGAACACAGCGUCCCUCUUUCAUUCUUUCAACCAGCUUCUUGGGAAGAUCGGCGUAGCAAUGUGAGCGCAUAACCA